UACGUAGGGUGCAAGCGUUGUCCGGAUUUAUUGGGCGUAAAGAGCUCGUAGGCGGUUUGUCGCGUCGGAUGUGAAAACCCAGGGCUCAACCCUGGGCCUGCAUUCGAUACGGGCAAACUAGAGUAUGGCAGGGGAGACUGGAAUUCCUGGUGUAGCGGUGAAAUGCGCAGAUAUCAGGAGGAACACCGGUGGCGAAGGCGGGUCUCUGGGCCGAUACUGACGCUGAGGCACGAAAGCGUGGGGAGCAAACAGG
rnacentral:rRNA from 1 species